ensembl:lncRNA novel transcript
GAGGUUCCUGCGGUCUCCUCCUGGCUGCCACCCCUGUCCGUCUCUCCGGGUUACUCUCCAGGGAGCCGGGAGCCGCUUCAGGUUGCAAUCUGCGAUGCAACGGCGCCUUUGUUUGACUCCAGCCUUGUUUUGCCUCAUACCUUAUCCUCCUAUUUAGAGUACCUCAGCACCUCAUGGGCUCCGCUUCACCAGUUCCUCAAUCAGUCAAUGCCUCUGACUUCUAGCCGCCAUCCCUCCCAGUGGAUACUUUAAGCAGGCAAGCAAACCAAACAAACGCCCAGCACGCUUGCAUGCAGCAAUCUCCGUUUUCCGGUCUUUGGUCGCAUGACUUGACCUCAGCGUAUCCCCUACACUUGAUCUUCACACACAGCUUCAUAGGUUAAGACACUUUUUUUCCAGAGAAAUCAUACUUUCUAUCUGCGAUUGUGGAACUGCGAUUGCUCUAAGCCCUUGAAAACAGUUUCCUCACCAUGAAAGCUUGGGCCAAAAAUUAGAAGUGAAACCCAGCCCUCCCUCUGUCUUCUACUCUUGGCCUACCUUGGCCCUAUACUUUAUCAUCCAUAAACCAAAACAGUCGCCUGGCCUGACAAUGUUUGAUCGGGGAAGUUUGAGUUGGGGAAUUAACCUACAACCUGACAGAAUGAGGCCCGCCCGUCUCUAACAGAGUUCAAAACCUCCUGAAGAUGAAAGUAACUUCAAAACUAACUCAGACCAUUUUAACGGUUUUGCUUACAAUUACCAGAACUACAUUUCUUUGAAAAUUUGAUUUAGCAAUCGUAAACAAGCUGUACUGUUUGCUGACUAUAGCGUAUCUACUGGCAAGUUACCAGUAUUAAUGUGUUGUCCAUAACAAACCUCGGAUUAAUGUUAUUGUUAAUCUGUUUAAUUGAAGAGUUUAACUUCAUAUCUAACUUCAUCUACUAUGAAAUCAGUUACCUUCAGGAAGCAGGAUUCCUCCUACUCUCCACUCACAUGAAGGACCAGUGUCUGUUUUGGAGGCAUGGAGUUGGAAAUGAGUUGGAGAGAUGACGGUAACAGUAGCUUCUAAAUAUGAACCUGAUGCUUAUACAACCAUUAUACCAAAAGUAAAGGUAGCUGUUUAAUUCCUUUCUGUGGAGCAUGGAAGAUUCUUUCUAUUUGCAUAUGCAAUAGGCCAUUCAUAGUUGAAUUUGAAUAUGUAAUAGGCCAUUCAUAGUUGAUAGCCUUGGGAAAAUGAACUAAUUUCUUUACAUCUGCAUAUCCUCUUAUAUAAAAGGGGAUACAAGCAUUCAACAUCCAAGGCUGCUAUGAGGACCAGGUGCAAAGAAGACCUUUUAACACAUAUUGACCCCUCCUCUGCUUCCUGAUUUUCUAAAUUAUCCAUUUGUAACACACUUAUUCUCUUAAGGUUGUCCUUGAUAUUUCUUUUUAGACUAAUUUUAUCUGCACAAUUUUAGGGACUAAAAAGGAGAAUGUACAACAUAGUUUGUCCAGAAACACGAGUAGAUGACUCUUCUUACAGUCAAAUUUUGUAGUCCAUAAAACAUGCAAAAUAUUUAGUCUAUGACAAUUUCAGAGCAAUGAGACACAGUAGAUUCAACCAUAAUUGAAAUCAAAAUAAUUACCACAGAGAUGUAUUAUUUUUUGCCAUAUCCUCAGAAUAGUAAAUCUUUUAAGGCAACUGUAGACACUAGUUAAUUUCCUAUGAGAGAAUGUUCUCUGUGACAUUUAUAAUAAAAUCUUCCUUACUAAACUCUACUUAUUCUCAAUGAUAUGUUUUUUUUUUAUGAAAUAAAUGUGGCAUUCUCAACCAAAGUUAGGAAAGCAUAAUAAUUAUGUUUCUCUUUAAAUUAAGCUGCUUUCCAUCCCAAAAGCAAAUACACAGUCCUAUUAGGCAACCUGGGACAUAAAGGGGCCAUUUGGUGUCUUGUGUAACAGACAAAGACAACUGCAGGGCAGCCAAAAGACAGAUUUAUAUCCUGUUAAGAAUAGCAGGAAAUAUUUUAGUUUACAGCAGUAUGACACCACUUGUCGUUUCCUUAGGCAUACAAGACAAGUCAACUCAAGCCUGUGGAUUUUUUGGGUGAAUGGAAAUAACUCCCUUCUGUGCUUGUUUUUCACUGGAAUGCUGACAUGUGCAAUGCUUGAAAAUUCAGAUCAUCCAGAGUUUACCCUGGCACUUGUAAAGAAGAAACUAUUUCAGCAGUACUGCAGUGUCCAUUUUCAAGUGAGCAAAAGUGUAGUAUGGUAGAUGUAGAGAAGAGAAAUCACGAUUACCUGUUAUUUUUCUUAAACUCAGCAGAAAUAGUAGAAGAGAACAAUCAAGAAAUACUAUCCCUUCUAUUAAAACACUAGAAUGUAGACAACUUAUAAAUUUUAGAUUAAAAUUCUUCAUACAGAUCACUAGUUCUCCACAAAUGUGAACCUUUCCAAGUCUGUGACUGUGGAAAUACUUUGGUCAUUCAAGGGCUGUGGCUGUGAGCUAUAUGUAUGUUGUCUGCGUGAGCAAAAAUGCUGCCCAGUGAAAAAUCAAGUGGAAUAUGGAGGAAUAAUUGGCAGUAAAGAUAACUGUUUGCUGAGUGCCUAAGAUGUGCCAAGCAACUUAAACUCUGUUUGGUUAGGGUUAAGGUAGUCGCUAAUUAUAAAAUUGAGCUGUGGAACCCUGUUAGGGAAAGAAGUUGUUUCAAUGUUGGAGUCAGUGAGGUGCCGCUUGUCGGAGAGGUCCCGCUUGUCAGAGAGGUCCCUUGAGUUCCAUAAUUUUCUUUAGUUCUGAAUGAAUCCCUGGUUUGUUUGUUUUGUUUUAUUCAAAACUUAUAUGUCUCACAUGUCUCUCAGGCUGGAUUUUCUAGGAAGCAUAUGCCAUAUUUAAUGUCUUUAAAACAUGCAUUCUGUCUGACCUUACAUUAACUUUAGGAUACAUUUUUUUCUAUAGGCCAGGAACAUUGCUCAAUAUUUUCAACUAUGACUUUCAGUAAAAAUGCAGAAACAUUUUUAUAGUGGAUGAUUUUUAUACUUUCAUCAAUGCUGAGAGUUGAAAGACAAUCUUUUUUUUUUUCUUUUCUUUUUUUUUUUUUUUUGAGAUGGAGUCUCACUCUUUUGCCCAGGCCGGACUGCAGUGGCGCUAUGUCGGCUCACUGCAAGCUCCACCUCCCGGGUUCACGCCAUUCUCCUGCCUCAGCCUCCCAAGUAGCUGGGACUACAGGUGCCCACCACCGCGCCCGGCUAAUUUUUUUUUUGUAUUUUUAGUAGAGACGGGGUUUCACCAUGUUAGCCAGGAUGGUCUCGAUCUCCUGACCUCGUGAUCCGCCCACCUCGGCUUCCCAAAGGUCUGGGAUUACAGGCGUGAGCCACCGCGCCCGGCUGGGUUGAAAGACAAUCUUAACACCGAGAAGGCAUUUUUGAAAUGGGAGAUUUUAAUAAUGUGGUUCAAGUGUAUUGCAUAUUGAGCAUUUAAUCUCACCAAGAGCCGAAGAUUUUAGGUCACAAGGAGGUACUAUUUCAGUGAGUUCAUAAAGCUGCAUCUCUCAUACAACUUAUUUUUCCAAGGAAGACUUUAUCAAAAGCUGAAUCACAAUGUAUUCUUAUUUAUACUUCCUGAAAUGUGAAAUACCAAUAUUCUUUAGAGUUUGAAAUGGGACUUAUAGUCAUCCAAAACCAGGACCCCUGGAAGCAGAGACUGGACAUUGGCUUAUUUCUCCACCUCAGAGUAGGAGGUUUUCCACUUCUCCAUUGAGAUAUGUUCCAGGUCCAGCUGAAGAAGGCAAAAAAUGUUCUUCAGAUAACUUGUGUAGGCUAACACAUGGAGAAAUGUGGAUUUUCUAAAAUUUAAUGAAAACCUUGCCAGACUUGGUAGAAAAAUAAGAAAAUUUUACAAGAGACCAAUCUCGCUGACACAUAUUAAUUCAAAAAAUACUAAGUGAAAUAUUAGCAAACAAAAUCUAUCACCACAUUUAAAAAUAAUAAAGCAUUCUGUAGGUUGUCUCAUCACUUUGUGGAGUGCAUCCCUUGCUAUGCAGAAGGUUUUCAGCUUGAUGUGAUCCCAUUUGUCUAUUUUUAUUUUGGUUGCCUGGACUUUGGAGUUCUUAUUCAGGAAAUCUUUGCCCAGUCCAAUGUCUUAGAGUGCUUCUCCAAUGUUUUCUUCUAGAAGUUUUAGGGUUUCCGGUCCUAUAUUUGUCUUUAAUCCAUUUUGAGUUGAUUUUUGCAUGUGACAAGAGAUAGGGAUCUAGCUUCAUUCUUCUGUAUGUGAAUAUCAAUUUUCCCCCUACCAUUUAUUAGCCUGUCCUUUUCCCAAUAUAUAUUCUUGAUGACUUUGCCAAAAAUGAGUUGACUGUAAAUGCAUGGACUUAUUUCGGAGUUCUCUACCCUGUUCCACUGGUUUAUGUGUCUGUUUUUAUACCAGUACCAUGCUGUUUCAGCUACUGUAGCCACUAUAGCUUUGUGAUAUAAUUUGAAGUCAGGUAAUGUGAUGUUCUUUUUGCUUAGUAUUACUUUAGCUAUUCUGGAUCUUUUGUGGUUCUAUACAAAUUUUAAGCCUUUUUUCCCAUUUCUGUGAAUAAUGUCAUUGAUAUUUUGAUAGUAUUGCAAUGAAUCUAUAGAUUGCUUUGGAUAGUAUUGACUUUUUAAUAAUAUUGAUUCUUCCAAUAUAUGAACG